rnacentral:lncRNA from 1 species
AUUAAAUUUACUCAUUUAGUUGAUGCAUUUCUCCAAAUUGACUUAUAAUGUUACAUUACUUACAGUUAUUUACCCAUUUAUACAACUGGAUAAUUUUUAGUGGAGGAAUUGAAAGUGAGUUGCUUGUGAGUACUUGAUCAAUGGUACUACAGAUGUAGAGGGCUUGGGAUUGAAGCCUGCCACCUUUGGGUUUAAAGGCAGCAGCUCUAACCACUACACUACCAGCCGCCCCUCCUUAGGCUUGAAUUUCUUUAAAUUGGCGAGUCCAGUGGGCAUUUGGAUCAGCUGAAUGCAAUGUGCUGGUUUUGUGCUUUCAGCAGAAACACUGUUGUAUCGGAAGACACCCAACUGUCCUACAGCUGUCAUCGUCAAAGAGGGCGGCGUGUGAGUGCUUAAGAAACUCCCAUUGACAAGGCCCUGUCCCUCCGUGCUGCGCUGCACUGCCACGGCUCUGACUCUUGAAUGCUGAUUCACUCCUGCCAGAGCUGCCGUUCUGUCUCCGAACUGUUAAAAAGGGACAGAUAAACCCAGUCUGCCCGGCAGCGUUUGUUUGUGUCGUCUAUUUAUGAUUUAUAAGUCAUUCGCAUUAUUAAUUAUUCAGCUUUGGAGUAUCUUCAUAAUGGCAGGAGCCGUUCAUUUACAUUUUGUUAUCAUGUCGCAUGGCAAAUCCACUUAGCAAUUUGAGAAAACAAAAGUAAUUCAUGCUACUAUUAGCAAUCAGACUGACUUCAAGGAGUGGGAAUAGACAGCCCCUCUGCUGUCAUCCAGGAAGUGCACCUGGGGGGACAGUUUUCAGUCCGAGUUCCAGCGAGGGAGGUUGGGCCUUACCCCACUGCGGAUACCUGCCUUCCGCAGGCCCCCAGGUCUUCAAAAGGAGCCAAAAAGUCUGUGUCAGCCCACAUACCCUGGAGCCUGAAGACAUGUUGGGCCUCACCUACGCCUUGUUUGAGGACAUGGUUGCCAUGACUUUGGUGUCAGUUGGAGGUGAAUGGAUCCUCAAAGACAUUUCCAAAGACAAACACAGACAUAGGCACCUGAGUACAGCAACCAAACAGCUGAUCUCCGUAGAAGAAUGAACCGAGUUACUGAAACAUCGGGUUUCUCGGUGCUAGAUGACACCCAGACGACCACAAAACUGAAACCCAUCAGGGGACUGAAACAGUAACCAUCCCUGGGACUCGGCACAAAGGUCAGCUGAAGGUCUGCCUUCGGGGUGGGGGGGUGGGGGGGGUUC